rnacentral:lncRNA from 1 species
GGGACCACGUAUAAGAAAAGGGAGCAAGAAGAUAGAUAGAGACAAAGAAAAAUGUUGGCUCUUCUGGUAUGGGGGACCAAGCAUAUUCAUGGGGGUUCAGAUAAAUGUUUGCCUAUAACAUAUACACACACAGAUGCGAGGGUGACCAGGUUAUGACAUCUGAAAUCACUUGGUUCGCUGAGAAGUCCAGAAUCAAUCAAAUUGCAUUCUCCUUCUCUGUGAGUGUUUCCUAUCAUAUGGGGGGGGGGGUCUCCCAGAAAUUCUGUAUUUGGUCAAAGAAGAGUUCUUAAACCAUGGAAUAAACCAACUUACUUACAUAGGUAGUAAAAGGAUGGGAAUGCCUGGGGACAAACCAAAGUACAACUUUGCUAUAUACAUUGAUGAAUUGCAGUGUAUUAUUUUUAACUUCAAAGCUAUCUAAAUAACCCAAGAUAAAUAAGUGUCCCAAAUGGAAAUGGCAGAAAUAUCCACUUCUUUAAAUAAGCUUUGCAAAUAUAUAUUUAUCUUCUUCUUGCAAUCACGUUAUUCGGCUACUUUUCCUAUUGAAUAAGAGAGAAAAAGAAAGAAAUGAAUUUACUAUUGCAUGAUCAAAUUUACAAAGAUUUUCACACUGCAUUUAUGAUAGAUUUCACAAGGGUAUUGCUAUAUCCAGCUAAUCAACUUUUGAACAGACUAAAUUUAUUCAGAAUAAAUCAAUUGGAAGAGUAAAUAAAACUAAGAUAACGUUAAGGGAGCAUGUUGCAAUGUCAAAAAUUCUUGCAAAGUGUAGAAAGAGAAAGACAUACAAAGCUGAAAUUAACAAUUUCAUUCAUUUACUAAACUUUUGUCCUAAACUUUCAUGUAUUUAUUGUUCAUAAGGUAAAUUUUUCGAUGAAAAAUCAGCAAAUUUAUAUAUAACAAGUUUGAACAGUUUCCUUUCAUGAACUGAUUAUUUAACAGAUAUAUACUAUAUUAGGAAAUUCUUAGCAAACUCAACACAUUACUAAACAAAUUUUAAAUAAUAAAAUUAAUGGAAAAUAAAGGAAAAAAUAACUAUCCUGGAAACUAUACAUAGCACAUACACAAAAUGGACAUAUACUGAAGAUAGAUGAUGAACAAUACACAACAAGGAAAGCUUAGUUUGGGGAUGGAAAGCUAACCCCAAAUCUAGCUGAAACUUCCAAAAAGUGCUAAAAGGCAACCAGUAAAAAUAAACUGCUAAGAAAAAUAAAUGCUUCAAAUCUAGUAGAAGACCAUCAAAACCAACUCAAAACAGAGCUCUCAAGGAUGCUAGAAGUCUCAAGCUAAGAGGAAGGAAAGUAAGAUGAAAGAAAACUAAUCAAGACAUACCCUGGGACAAAAUUCAUCUUUAUUAUGAGUGUUCCUUCCCAAAUGAACCACCUGCUAAAAUAUCAAGUCCAAGAAGGCCAGUGUUUCUAUGGAAGGUAAGAUGUGAGUUUACUCACAUGACUUUAAGGGACAUGUCUUACUUAUCUGUAUAAUCCUAGUAGCUCACAUGAUUCCAUACUGAAUAAAGGAAGGAAGGAAGAAAGGAAGAAAGGAAGGAAAGAAGGAAGGAAGGAAAGAAAAGGACAAAAGGAGGCAAGGAGGCAGGGAGGGAAGAGGAGAGAAGGAAGGAGAAAAAAAGGAACAGAGGGAGGAAGGAGAAAGUGAGGAAGGAAAAAGGGAAUAAGAUUAUGAGACUCAUAGGCACAUUUAAUUGUUGUAAAUGGGUUAAAUUAUUUAGACUCAAGCAAACUUUAUCCAAGCUUAAAGAUAUGUCCUAAUUCUCAGAAAAGAGAAUGAGAUGAAUGCCAGAAUUCACAAAGUAAGUAGUGAGUUUGAAGUUGAUCCCCAGCCAUUUCUAGAAUGAUUUGUUAAACAGACACUAACUAGGUAGGCUCUCAGAAAAUGGCAUUGUAAACACCUGAAGCUGGCAUGAUUCAUGAAGAAAAGGUUAUGUAAAUUAGCCUUUAUUUUUUUCUUUGGGUCACUGGAUUAUAAAUUUAUACAAAUGUCUAUAUUGGAAGGCCAAUAUAAUGAAUCUAAACUUCAAAGGUUAUUAAACAUGGUUUCAUGAUAUUCUUGACAGUUGUACAGUUAUGUGGAGUCACAACUGCUGUUGUAAAAAAAAAGUGUUUAUUGUACAAUUUUAUUAACCAAAAACGUGAUUUCUAAUAUAUUGUUCAAAACCUUAGUCCAUAGCCCAAUCUUGUUUUUUUUUUAAUGUUCUUUAUUUUAUUUUUGAGAGAGAGGGGGAGGGAAAGGCAGAGAGAGAGGGACAGAGGAUCUGAAAUGGGCUCUGUGUUGAGAGCAGAGAGCCCAAUGUGGGGCUUGAACUCACAAACUAUGAGAUCAUGACCUAAGAUCAAGUCCGACACUCAACCAACUGAGCCAUCCAGGCAUCCCCCCAAUCUUGUUGUUUUUUAAAUGGAUAAGUUGGCUAAAGAUAGAAGGGAUAUCCUAAAGCUAGAAGAAAUAGCAACAAACAAAAUGUAAAAUUAUCUUAAUAGGGCCGCCUGGGUGGCUCAGUCAGUUAAGCGUCUGACUUCGGCUCAAGUCGUGAUCUGGUGGUCCAUGACUUUGAGCCCUGCGUUGGGCUCAAAGCCUGGAGCCUGCUUCUGAUUCUGUGUCUCCCUCUCUUUCUGCCCCUCUGCCACUCGUGCUCUGUCUGUCUCUCUCAAAACCUAAAUGAACAUAAAAAUAAUAAUUAUUAUUAUUAUUAUUAUUAUCUUAAUAGGCUGAAAUGCUAAUCAUAGUAAGAUCAAAAUUUUAAAGGAUAAACAUUAAAUCUUGUUUGUAAGUUAAAUAAUCAACCGUAUGGGUAUAUUGCUUUUAUAAGAGGCCUGGUAAUUUUGAUUAACUAGAAAUGAAGGACAAGCUGUUUCGCAACAGUCCAGUGGUCCAUGGAUAGAAUUCAAGGGGGUCCAUGAACUUGAAGAGGGAAAAAUUAUAUAUUCUUAUUUUCACUAACCUCUGACCGAAAUUUAGCAUUUUCUUCCAUUAUGAAUAUAGUCAAAAUAUCACAGCAGUAAUAACAGUACUGUAACUUUGGUAACAACAGCAAUCACAGAUAUUUUUCUAUGACAUUACCAUUUUUGCAUAUGUUUCUCAAAAUGGAUUUAUGGUCCCCUACUUCAAGAUUAGCUUAACUAUUGAACCCACCACCAGAUCUUAUAAUAAUACAUUAAUAAAGAGAUGUAUACAUACACAGGUGUAACACUAAACUAGAAAUGUCUUUUCAAUACUUUAUAAUUGCAUUUUUGCAUAAUUUGCUCCUUUGUAAUUCCAUGCAUUAUAUUUUAUGCACUUAAAAACAUUAUUCAGGGAAGCGGACAUUUUUAACCAGUCACAUAGGGGUCUGUGGCGCAAAACCGGUUAGGAACCCUUUUGAUGAAAUGUAGAUAUAUUGCUUUAAAAAUCGGCUGCCUGUACAGAAAUAUGUGGUAUAGCAGUGUUCCAGGGAAAAUCUGUUGUCAGCUCACACAUUCACAGAUCAUGCUUGGAUCUGCAUUUCAAUAUUGAGAUAUUGACAAUUGGAAUACAUUCAGGGAGUGGAGAGAAGCCACGACCAGGAAGACAAAAAUCUAGAAAUCAUAUCACGAAGAAUGUCAGUCCUCUAGAAACAAAUACUAAUCAGCGUGAGACGCAAGAGAAGAACCAUGAUGUGGGGGGGGGGGGAACACAUGCUUUGAUGUGGACAGAACUACAAGUAUCUCCCAACUCCACCACUUGGUGCCAUGUUACUUUAGGUGGUUAUUCAAUAUUCUUGUUCUCAGCUCUGUGUCUAUAGCUUGAAGAUAAUGUGUGCAACACAGACUCGUGGUGAGGAUUAGGAAAAAAUAUAUAUUAGAGACUAACAGAGCCUGGCACAUAAUUGAUGCCAAGAAGUUGCAUCAUGGUUGGUAUGGUCUUAGCAGGGGAAGCAAAAUGCUCAAAUUCACAUGCCCAGGUAUCUUCUACCCCAGCAGAAGUUGGGGAUAGUUUGAAUGAGGCCUUCUACCCUUGGGGCUGAAGAGUAUCACUUCAUCCUGCUGCUGGGGAUAGGGGCAGGAGAAAUGGUUCAGGACAGAUUCUAGCUUACUGUCAUGAAGAAUUGCUCAGCAAUCAAUGGCCUUGACUGCUUCAUAAAAUAAUGAGAAUCUUGCCUCUCCACGCGUUCACGCAGAGACUAGAUUCCCAGCACAUUCCGGAUGUGGUAGACAAGUGUGCUAAGAUGGGGGUGUCCGCCCACCGGGCCUCCCAGGUUACCUCCAAAUGUACUUCUCAGAGUCUCUGUAGCCUCACGAACAAGGGCGAAACACAAAUAAUGUAUUAAGCUGUCAGAUUCAACAAAUGGUUUUCCUCUGCUUCUGAGGAAGAUCGUCAUCAUUUAAAUAAACAGGUCAUUAAUUUAAGAAUAGAUUUCUCAGCCUCUGCAAAACAGACAUAAUAUUGGACAGGGAAUAUUUAUAUUUCGAAGAGAUAAAAUGACAGUCAUAGCUACAGACUUACAAAAUGAACUGAAGUUCAAUUUUGUAGUAAUUAAUGACCACAUAAAAUGGCUGAAAUGAUAAUAAAAAUGUACAUGAGUAUGCUAUAAUCAAGGGAAUGUUUAAACAGACUACUGUUUUCUCAGGGGAAUUAGAGUCCUAAAGUCAGUUCCAAAUAACACCAACAAGCCCCUUUAACGAAAAGGUCCAUCUCCAAAAACAGCUGAGUAGCAGGUUGGGAAUUUCUACUUUGAAUACCAGCAAAGGAAUCAUAAACAUGUUCUUGCCAGAUGUGCUUCCCAGAUGUAAGGACACUCAAAGUUUUAGCAAGUAAGGAUAGGCAAAGAGAAACAGGAAAGCUGGAAAGCAGUACAAGACUUAAUUGGUUGCUUUAAUAAAUAUCCAAAUACCCGAGAGAUAUUUAUCAUGUAUGAUGUAGUUAACAGAAAGAACAUUCUUCUUCUUUUCCUUCUCUUCCUUUUCCUUAGCAUAGUUCUUCUCUUCAACUCCUUCCCUCUCUCUCUUUUUUCUCUGGUCAUUUCCUCUCCUUAAAGGGGCCCCCUGAAUUGCUUUCAAACUCUGAGGUUUCCUCAUGGUCUACACUUUCACGUGCCCUCCCCUUCUCCCAUUCCAUCUCCAUUCUGCAAAGACUAUUCAUCAAAAAUAGAAUUAACUUUUGCAAAGAAAAGCACAUCCUGAUGGAAUCACAGUUGAUUAAGUCACUUGCAUUUCCAAAUAAGUAACCGCAAUAAAAAAGAAGUAUGAGCAAAAUUUCAUGCCAUUUAGGCCCACAGUUGACCCUUGAACAACAUGGGUUUGAACUGUGUGGGCCUAAUUAUAUAUGAUUUUUUUAAAUGUUUAUUUUUGAGAGAGUGAGAGACAGAGCACAAGUCGGGGAGGGGCAGAGGGAGACACACACAGAAUCCAAAGUAGGCUCCGGGCUCUGAGCUGUCAGCACAGAGCCUGAUUCAGGGCUCGAUCUCACCAACCACGAGAUCAUGACCUCAGUAGAAGUCGGAUGCUUAACUGACUGAGCCCAGGCACCCUACAUGGAUUUUUUUGAUAAAUGCAGUACUAUAAAUGUAUUUUCUCUUUCUUAUGAUUUUUAAUAACAUUUUGUUUUUUCUAGCUUACUUUAUCAUAAGAAUAUAGUAUAUAAUGCAUAUGACAUAGAAAAUAUGUAUUAAUUGACUGUUAUAUUUUCAUUGAGUUUUCCAGUCAACAGUAGACUAUUAGUAGUUCUGUUUUUGAGGGAGUCAAAAGUGAUACAUGAAUUUCCAACUAUGCAGGGGAUUGGUCCCCUAACCCUGGUACUGUUUAAGAGUCAACUGUUUUUAUGUACAUAAAAAUACUUACUAUAAUAUAUUUAUCCAGAUAUAGAAAAUAAAGUAUAGGAAAGAGAUUUUAAUACAUAUAUUAGCAUCUAAAAAUCUUCCACAUAAAGUGUUUCUACAUUAAAUUCUGGUCUAAUAUGCAGUUUAUGUAAUAUUUUACUGAUGUCCUCUUUACAUAGACUAUAAUUAUUUAAAUCCUUCCUACAAAGACACAAUCUAUAUUAUGCCAUAACUUAGAAAUCUCAAUGUUGCACCUGAUUAAAUCUUAUAUUGUCAUUGCAAUAACGCCAAGAGAAAGGGUCACUCAACAUCAUACUACCUUGGGAAGUCCAGUUAGUAGCUCAAAGUCCCCCAGAAGGGGAAUUCCCUACUCUGAAGUUCAGAUCCAGGAACUUGAGUUUUCCCAACCCCACCGUGAAACCUCUUCUGAAGCAUGAACUCAUAGUACCAACACUCCCAAAGAAUGAUAAACUCCAUUCCAGUUUAUUAAGGUACUUUGGAGAUUUAAGCGCUAAAGGGACAUUGUCUCUAUAUAGAAGUUUUAUGGAGAUUUAGCCUAAGACACCUUGGGAGCAGUGAAUUAGAAGGGGAGAAAGAGAGGGUUUUAAAGAUGAAGAGAACGUUUGAUAGAAGAGCCUGAGGUAUGUGUCUGGGUUAAGGUUGGGUCCAUCAUUGUGUCUGGACAGACCAAUUUCUCAAAACAGGUAGUACUUCUUCUGGAGCAUGCUAGAAAGGACACUGAUAAUGAUGGCUUUUUCUACCUCUUUAUAAAAACCAAUAUUCUGAUUAUUAUGUUUUUCUUUAGAAACACAAAUAUUUUCCAAAUAUAAAGCCAAAUAUUGAUGAUCUGGGUCCAAUUUAUAUUUUUAAAGUGAUUUUGCGUCUCUCUGCUCUGAUCUACUGAUUUGUUGAUAUUAGUGCUUUACUCUAACAUAAGGGACUGGGGAAGGUUUCUUUUUGAAACCCAAAUAUAAAAAAUGUAUACCUGUUGGUAGCCUGAAAUGUAGCCAAGACAAUUUUCAUAUAUUCACAUCAAAAGUGAUGCAUUCAGAAGCUACAUACAGCUCAUAGACAGUGAGACUGACUCCUGGCCCCACCAUAUGCUACUUGCAUGAGCACUGGUCAAAUUAUUUAAUCUCUCAGAUCCUCAGUUUGAUCAUCUACAAAGUGAGAAUAACAUCUGCCUCCCACGUUGUGUCAUGAAGACUUAAUGGAUGGAAUGGAGUGUGAAGAGCCUGCUGUGCUAACAGGCUGUGGUACAUUCGUCACUUGAUCGCUUGUUCCCCAUUACUCACUCCUUUCCAGAAAAGUAAACUUUUGUAUCAUUCCCCAUGGCAUUUCUAGCAAGUUUAGCAAAUUCAUGUGGGACUCACAUAUGUCUCUCUCAUUUGCAUGUGCACCUCCUUCCUUUCCAAUCACCUGCGGAGACGUCUUUUUUGAUGAAUAUCAGCAAAGUCACCUUCAGGAUUAACAUCUCCUCCUACUUGAAUUGUCGUCCCUCACACCAUUUCAUUCUCAAUCUGUCCUAUGUCAAUUUGCACUUGAUGACAUAGUGCUCAGUUUCAUUACUUCCUACGUGCCUGACUGUCCUAAAAUUUCAACUUCUUGACGAGGAGAGAUUUUGUUUCUAGUUCUUUGAAACUGCACCCCCCCCCCCGAGUCCCCUAAACCCCCACCCCUAGCUCUAGCUAAUGCUGCAGUGGAAUUAAUUUCGUGUUGACUGUCUGGCUAAUGAGAAAUUAUUUUAGCACUACAGAAGGAGAAGGUCUACAGAGGAGCUGUUAGAUAUAUCAAAGCAGCAGAAAAAAGGAGGAGAAUCAAAGAAGGUGAGAAAACGACUUACUCUUCCCCUCCUCAAAAAAACCAAUGAUUUAUUUGCUUCAGUACCACAAGGAAUGCAGGUACCUUCCCUGUGGCUGCUCUCUACAAACAGUGGUAGCAAAGAAAAGUCAAAAAUGCAAGUAUCAAAGCAGAGAUAACAGAAACACUGGAAAAAUAAAAAAGCCACAACAAAUCAAUAGGUACUUAGAGUUACAAAGAAAUUAAAGAAUCUAAAUACAAACAUUUUUCUCAAGUUUAUUUUACCAUCUUAAAACCUUCACUAAGAAGCUAUAUUUUCAAAAAAAUAAAUAAAUAAAGGUCUACUAUGACACAUACAUUUGAAUAUAUGUCAAUUGGAAAUAUUCAUAAUUAAACCUAUUCACAACUUUUGAGUAAAUUCUCUGUUAAAAGAAGUAAAAAUGAAUAAUUUCAUAAUGGAUAAAAUGGAUAAAAGGAAAAGUUCUCUAUUUAUUAAAAUAAGAUUAACAGAGAAAAAAACAAGGAACACAUAUGCAAUUAUCACCUCUGUUUUCCCAUAAAAACCCUUGAAGAACAUUUUCCCUCCUUUCAUUUUCCAAAAAGAGACACUAAUUCCAGAAAUGUGCCCUCUCUCCAGAGGGAAAAUUCAUAUUUGUUACAAGAGAAUUACACCCAGGAAUGAGUAUUCGAAUUGUGGACAGAUUUUGAAGGAAAUUAGUAAAUAGGAUUAAAAUUAGGACAAAAUCAAAUCAUAACAGACAAAUGGUAAAGCAAAUCCCAUCUUGAUGUUUGGUAGUCAGAAUUUUACUAAACAAUAAAAAUAGCAAACUAGUUUCAAGAUUUAAAUCUCAUUUAAAUGCAGCCCCAUUAAAACGUGAUCAUUCUGGGGCGCCUGGGUGGCGCAGUCGGUUAAGCGUCCGACUUCAGCCAGGUCACGAUCUUGCGGUGCGUGAGUUCGAGCCCCGCGUCAGGCUCUGGGCUGAUGGCUCAGAGCCUGGAGCCUGUUUCCGAUUCUGUGUCUCCCUCUCUCUCUGCCCCUCCCCCGUUCAUGCUCUGUCUCUCUCUGUCCCAAAAAUAAAUAAACGUUAAAAAAAAAAAAAAAAAAAAAAAAAAAACGUGAUCAUUCUAAGUGAUUGUGAUAACUUUAAUAUUGUACAAGCAAUAUAAGAUUUUGAUUAACAUGACCUGAUGGAUGGGAAGGACAUUCUCCCUUAAGAAUGUUUCAGAAUGGUUUUAAAAGUAGCUACUUUAAAGUUAUAUGUUGAAAUUAUUUUAAAAUGUUUUAUUAUGAUAAAGAAGCAUUUAAUUUUAUCAUACUUUCUAAAAAGCAUCUUGCUAAACAUUUGUUAUUAACAUCAAAGUGGAUUUAUGUUGAUGUUUUAAACUUUAAAAAAAAAGUUUGUCUAUUUAUUUUGAUACAGAGAGAAAGCCUGAGUAGGGGAGGGGCAGAGAGAGAAAGAGAGAGACAGAGACAGAGACAGAGAGAGACAGGGAACCCCAAGCAGGCUCAGUGGAGAGCCUGACACGGAGUUCAUCCCAGGACUAUGAGAUCAUGACCUGAGAUGAAAUCAAGAGUUGGACCUUAACCAACUGAGCCAUCCAGGUGCUCUAAAUGUCUUGAAAGUUUUAAAGGACUUCAGGGCAUUCCGAGAUAAUUCUUGACAUUUUGGUGUCACCAAGCAUUAGAUUGCAAAUCAGUUACCUAAACAAUGACCACAAUACUCUUGAGUGAAGACAAAUUUAAAGUAAAAUGAUCGGGGGUGCCUGGGUGGCUCAGUCACUUGGCCCUCCAACUUCAGCUCAGGAUCAGUCAGUUGGGCCUCCAACUUCGGUUCAGGUCAUGACCUCACAGUUCAUGAGUUCAAGCCCCACAUCAGGUUUGAUGAGUUGCUAGCACAGAGCCUGGACCCUGCUUCGUAUUCUUUGUCUCCCUCUCUCUUUGCCCCUCCCCUGCUCAUGCUCUGUCUCUCUCUCUCUCUUUCAAAAUUAAAUAAACAUGAAAAAAUAAUGAUAAUAAAAUAUGAAAAUGAAAUAAAGUAAAAUGACCACAGAAAAUUCUGCUGCAAGAGACUUCUAAAACACAUGUAAUAUCUUUGAGAAGUAAAGCAGAAGUCCCUGGACUCCAAAACACUUCUUGCUAAGUGUUUAUAGCUCUUAGAAAAUUGAGUUCAUUUCAGUCAGAACUUUUAAAAAAAGGACAGAUGGGUAAGAAACAAUGGCAGCAAGCUCUGAGAGUUUUAGAAAGAGGUUUAUAGGAGGGGUGCCUGGGUGGCUCAGUCGGUUGAGCGUCCGACUUCGGCUCGGGUCAUGGCAUCACGGUCCGUGGGUACGAACCCCGCGUCGGGCUCUGUGCUGACAGCUCAGAGCCAGGGGCCUGCUUCGGAUUCUGGGUCUCCCUCUCUCUCUGCCCCUCUCCCGUUCAUGCCCUGUUUCACUCUGUCUCAAAAAUAAAUAAACAUUUUUUAAAAAUUUAAAACAAGAAAAAAAGAAAGAGGUUUAUAGGGAUAAAACAGUUUAGAGAAGUCUUUGACUUGGGGUCACUCCAAGGUUAAGGUGUAUGUGCAUUUGCCAUAAAUAAGGACAUUUGGUUAGAAGCUACUGGAAAAAGCAAACUGUGUAUGUGUGUGUGUGCUUUGUAUGUUUGAAUGGUUUGAACGGCUGGAGUCAUCUAUCUUGAUGAAUCUAGUUGAAUUAUAAUCCUUUUCCCCAUAACUAUAUACAAGAUUUAAAAUGUGGAUGGGAGUACUUGAGGUCCAUCAAAAGGAUAAAAGACAAUAGAUUCAAGUUCCCAUAUGGGAGAACAGUAAGAAAAGAAAAUUAAGAGAAACUAAAGAACUAAGGAACAAAAAAGGAAGCAAUUUUCUCUUCUUUUGUUUUCUUUUUUUUUUUUUUAAAGCGAGCACUUUGUAGGCACCAGGAUUAUUUUAUUAUGGCAAUUAGAUAAUUUCCAGAAUUCCUAAUUCUUACUAAAGGGCAAGGGAGAAGGGAGGAGAGGAGGAGAGGGAAUGCGGGGAGCUUGACACAGAGAUGGGAACAAAGAGAAGACGUGAUCAUUGAGAAAGAUUGGUGACUAUUGCCUAUUUCUCUGUGUCCUGUAAUCUCUCAUUUUAAAGCUACUCUCUGACGGUCCCAUUGACUCGUCAUAGGUUAAAUUGAAAACUUCCAGAGUGACUUUGUAGUUGGACACAACUAGCAUCUAUUCAAAGUCUUUUUAGUACCAAAUUUUCUGCCAAAUGCAUUACAUAAAUGAUCACAUUAAAAUCCACAAGAGCCUUAGAAUGUGGCUACUACUACUGUCAAUGGUUUUAAAAGAUAAGGACAUGGUAAUAUGUGAUGCGCCCCAGGCCACACAGGUAGCAAGUAGAGAGCCUGGGAUUCAAACUCGGUUCCUUUACUCUUCAAGUCCAAAUUAUUGAUUGAAGACAAUGUUGGUAGUAGUCCUGUUAUAUCAUCACUGCAUCAUUACAUAAGUAACUGUGGGAAUUCUUUUUUUUUCUUAAUGUUUAUUUAUUUAUUGAGAGAGAAAGCAAGAGAGAGAAUGGGCAGAAGGGGGGCAGAGAGAGAGAGAAUCCCAAGCAGGCUCCAUGCUGUCAGCACAGAGCCUGAUGUGGGGCUCCAUCCCACAAACUGAGAUCAUGACCUGAGCCAAAAUCAAGAGUCUGACACUCCACCAACUUAGCCACGCAGGCACCCUACAAAUAUUUCUUAUGAAAGUUAACUUUCCACCAUUCUCCCACUGCUUUAAGGACUUUUCUUAUAGCCUGAGUUUACCUUUCUUGAUGAAAACACCAAGAAACAAUUAAAGCAAGCGAAUAUUUUGAAAAUUUCCCACCAUUCCUCCCAUGACUAUACCUCAUGAUAACAUGUGGUCUCCAAGAUAUAGCAGGCAGCAGCUUGACCAAAUGUUUGCAACCAUAUAUUAUGGCCACCCAUUUUCCAACUUAAUAUCUUCCUUCCACUAGCUUCAUUUAGCCAAUGUCAAAUCUUAGGUUCUGUUUUACAGGACCCAAUUCCUGGUACCAAGUUCAUUAUGACUUUGGUCAUAACAAUAUUCGUGACCGAUCACAGUGGCUUAAACAAGGCAGUUUAUUUCUUUUGCAUAUUCAAAAGUCUAAAAGGAAGGUAUCCAAAACAGGCAUGGUUCAGUGACUUAUGGUUCAGUGAAGUUUCCAAGCCCUUGUUUUUAGCUAUCAUUCUAAUAUCCUUAGCCCAUGGCUUACAUCCUCAAGACCAUCGUGUGCUGACCCAAAAUGGCUACUAGAGCUAUAGGCAUAAUGUUCCAUUCUAAAUAGUAAGAAAAAUAAAUGGAGGAGAAGGAGCACUCUUACCUUUAUAGGGAAACCUUACAGAAAUGUUGUACAUAAUACUUCUAUUUAUUCUCGUGGGGCAUAACCUAGUCCUGUGGCCACACUUGGAUACAAAGGAGGCUGAAAUGUCAUCUUUUAGCUGGGUAGCUUGCACUGACAUAAAAACAUCAGGAUUUUUUUAGUGAAGGGAGAGAAGAAAAUCAAUGUUGUGGGAUAUUUCUCAUACAUUGUUUCUCAUAGACGUUUUAGAAAUUUCUCAAGGAAGAUUAAGCUAAUUUUAUGUGUCUAUAUUUGCCAUCAAACAUGCUUAGUUACCAAAGCAUUAGCCAAUGAUUUCUUUCUAUUUGCUUAUGUUUUUCAGUUACACACCCUAUAGAAACAUCUACAAAUUCGGGCCAUUUUUGGAGAUGAAAGUGAUAUAUAUGUAUGUCUUCAUACAGAGACAUACAUAUAAUGGACAAGGAGUCCUUAUCUCUGGUGAAAUCAGGCCCUACUUUGAUGAAAAAUCUACCACCGCAGGGAAUUUGCUUGCCAAAAUUUGUUGCAUAGAAUAAUAUUUUCUUAUGUAUAUUUACAAUAUCUAUCAUGCUGAAGACUACUAGCAAAGGAAAAUUAUUCCAAAGAAAUUAUAUUACUGAGAUGAAUUUUUGGUCAACUUGUAAACUGAAUCAAAUCUGUAAGUUUCUCCCCCCAAAUUGAGUUACUUUCUCCAUACCUAUAAACUGGUUGGAUUCCGUUCGCAGUGGACAUAGCGUAUGACAAGAAAGGCAGUUUAUUUUGCUGUUGAUAGCCCUGAAAGUCCUGGAUAUCUCCAAGGAAAUUCCAGUCUUAGGAGGAUUCCAACAAACAUGCAGAGCUGGUUGGCUGGGUGGUUCAGAUUGGGGUGCACUUUGGAACCAGAAUACAGACAGUAUUCCAAGUCCAAAGUGUCUGAGUUUUGAAGUUCAGUCUUUAUUCAUGCAGGCUCCUCCAGCAAAAUAUUUAUAAAUAAACUCUGGAGAGAAAAUAGAGUCAAUAUAUCAAUACAUAACCUUCAUUACUGAUAUGAUGAAAAUUAAAAUUUACCACUUUCACAUAAUCUAUUACCUAGUCUGUGAUAGAUGGUGGUUGCAUAUAGUUUUAAAAAAAAAAUUUUAUUGCUGACCCAGAUUCUAUAAAGAGACAGAAAUGCUUAAAAUCUUGAGUGACACAAAUAAGAUUACAUAUAACCAUUGAUUUUCAUAAAGCAAAUUGUUCUAAUAUAUGUUUAAAGUGGGCUCUUGAUAGUCCUUUAUGUUAUUUAGCUAUAUUUUCAUUACAAUGUACAAUCCAUGCAUUUUCUUAAUAAAGAUACUUAGGGCUCUAAAAGGCAGGUAAUUGAGCCAUAAAUUAGUGGGUCAUUUCUGUAAUAUAAAGUUCAACGUUCGUAUAAAGUAGCCCUUCCUCCUUUUUACUCUAUCUUUAUCUAGUAAAAUAUCCUGUGCAUGGAAGGUAUUCAAUAAAUGAGGUUAAGUGAUAGGUAGGUCGGUGGUAAUAUUAGAAUUACCUUUUUACAAAGAGAUGAAUUAGGAAGCAAUGUAGGUCAGUCCUGCAGAGUCUGAGCAACUGGAUCUGAUCCUGGCAAAUGGUUCAUUUUGAAAAAUUCUAAAGAUUACUUAUCACCAACACAUGUAAUUUUAAUUUACUGGGGCCACUAUCAGACACAAAGAUGACAGAAUGAUUCGAUCCAUAGUAUUACACUUCAAUCACUGAGUAGAGGCAAGAUCUCUCAAGGUUUCCAGACACUACAACACCACCAUGUACUCAGUAAUCAGAAAAACCUAUUAAUAUGUAAAACGUACCAAUAACCCAAUCUGACUUUACUGUUAUCCACUGAUUUGGAGCGGGGGAGGAAGUAUAUUGCAUUUGUUGAUUUCACUUGACAAUUUAUAUACAUGAUCCGAAAGAAUCUGUGACAGCAUGAGAAAAGUAAACUUGAGAUCAUUGAUAACUAUUCAUUAAUUUUCCAGUACAUAAUAUUUGUGCCCUUUUCAAUAUUUCUUCCGACCUGGAUAUAUUUCCCUUGUCUUCAGUAUUUCACCAUUGGGCAGAGAAAAAGAUGGAAAGAAAAAAAAUCGUAGACACAUAUAUGCAUAUUGAAUAUUUAUUUUUAUUUGAGAGAGAGAGAGACAGACAGAGAGAGAGAGACAGAGAGAGAGAGAGAAUCCCAAGCAAGCUCCAUACUCAGUGUGGAGCCUGAGGCAGGACUCAAACCCAUGACUCUGGCAUCAUGACCUGAGCUGAAAUCAAGAGUCAGACGUUCAACCAACUGAGCCACCCAAGCACCCCUGAGUAUGCAUUAGUUAAUAUAAAAAAAAAAUUAAACAAUUAGCUUGAAUGAAAUUAGGAGAGCAGAAUUUUCAUCCUAACUUUGUCCUUAGUUUCUGGGUGACCUUGAUUAAGGCAGUUACUUUCAUGAGCAGUAAUUUUCUUGUCUGUGAAAUGGGAAUGAUGGUCACAUUGCCUCUUCCAUGGCACUAUGGAAAGAAUCUCAUAGAACAUUCACGUCAAAUACUUUGAAGUAUAUAGAAUUCUAUAGCAACAUGUUAGCUUUAUUAAAAAAAAAAUGCCUGAAAUAUGAUAUGUAAUGCUCACCAAAGAGAUAAAUUAGUACUUCAUUACUGGUAUUUCAAAAUGAUUAUUUGCUUCACAAAAUUUUGCCACAAAAUUAAUAUUUGCAGUUAGGGGAAGUAUGAACGAGGAGAAAGGGAAGGGCAGGAACUUCUGGAUAUCUCUAGGGAUCAAUUAUCACUCAAUUUUUGGAUCCUGGCAUAAAAUGUUUAGUAAAAGUCUUCCUUCGAAUUAUUUAGAUUAUAUUAGGAAGUAAGUCUUAUUUUAUUGUGGACAUGAAGAUUACAUCACUAUAUUCCACCAAGAAGGCAUCCGAGGGCCUUCUCAAUGUGAUUAGUGUAAUCUGCAUUGCGGUCUAUAUGAACCGCGACUCAUGGGGUUGUGUCCAACCCAACCUGCACCGCCAUACAAAAUAGUCCCAGUUAAGGAACCGUGAGCCUAUAUCCAACACACUGGGACUGAGUAAAUGCUUCUAGAACAAAUUAUCAAAAUUCUCAAAACAUAUGAAACUACAAACAUAGGAGACUGCAAAUCCUUAAUACUGAAUCUAGAAGGGCAGGGGGCUUCUUUCCUUAAGGGUUCUUAACACAUCUCUAAAUUGAAGACUACUAAUUUCAUUUUGAAAGAACAUACCGGGAACACAAUGAUUACACGAAACAAGGGUAGCAGUUGUUCCAAUCACCUAUCUGCAGAUCUAUUUACUAGCAUUUUCCAAAUCGGAGCCUCAAUUUUUGGAUACAUUUCACAGUCCCAUCAUUCUAAACUCUGUAAAAUUAAGCAUAUAGGGGCACCUGAGGGGCUCAGUCAGAGAAGCCUCCGACUCUUGAUUUCAGCUGGGGUCAUGAGUUCUAGCCCCUAAUCGGGGCUCUGCUCUGACAGGACAGAGCCUGCUUGGGAUUCUCUCUCUUCCUCUCCUUCUGCCCCUCCCCCAAGUACUCGCAUGCUCUCUCUCUCUCAAAAAUAAAUAAACAUUAAAAAAAAUGUCUUCUCCAGCCAUCUACUUCAACUAUUUAAAAAGCAGCUAAAUAUAGUAGCACCGGUGAAGGUGGAAAUACAGAGCCUUGUGUUUUAAACAUGUCUUGCAUAUAUGUUUUAAGAUCACAAAUUAUUCAGCCGUCUCAUGCGGAUUUCUCUUUCUUUUUAUCUCCUUUGGAGUAAUAUGUUGCAUUGCAGAAUGAAAGGACAGUAAAACAUUCCUUUCAAACAGUGUGGUUUCAUUGGUUAAUUAUUUUGCAAACUAAAAUGAAAUCCAAACCAAAUUCAGAGUUUAGAAUUUUCUAAUAGCUUAUAAAUGAUUUCAUUUUGUGUGAUUUCAUUAAAUUUCAUCUUUUAUUCUCCUUCAGCAAACCAUUGCUAAAACAAAAACAAAAACAAAAACGAACAAACGAAACAAACAAGCAAACAAACACCUUCUCUACCUGGCCUUUUUGCUCCCCUCCCCAGAUUUCAGCUUUCUGCAUCUUGCUGUCCUGGGCAGUCAUUCCAAAAGUGAGCCAGUGGGACAUUGCUUAUACAAAGACACUUAUGUUUAUGGUACUGCUCUCUAUCAGAAUCUGAGCACACACAUUUACAUAUACGCACUCUAAGCAGGUCACUGAAGAUUACAAUCGUUCUGGAAAUAAUCCUUAAGAAUGAAUAAGCUAAAGAUAUAGUGUGUCGAGUCUAUUCUCUCUCUUUUUCAUCUUCCUGUCUCCCUUUCUUCCCCAUUCCUUCCUCCUUCUCUCCUUCCCAUCCUUUUCUUUCUUCCUUUCUCUCUCUUUCUCUCUUCCUUCCUUCCUUCCUUCCUUCCUUCCUUCCUUCCUUCCUUCCUUCGUUUUUUUUUUCUUUCCCUGAAGAGGUUUCUGAAAUUCAUCAGUGAUUUCUUUAAUUAAGAGGGAAAACAAACAAACAAAAAAACAGGAGAGAACAAAAAGGAAUAGUAAACUGUUCCCUUCACUGCCUAAGGGGUUAGUUACAAAAUAAACAUUUCAUAGACUGGGCCACAUCUCCUAUAAUGAGACAGCUCUGGCUAGUGAGUCUGCAACUGAAG